rnacentral:rRNA from 1 species
UACGUAGGGGGCAAGCGUUGUCCGGAUUUAUUGGGCGUAAAGAGCGUGUAGGCGGUUCGGUAGGUCCGUUGUGAAAACUCGAGCUCAACCUCGAGACGCCGAUGGAAACCCCCGAACUAGAAGUCCGGGAAGAAGGAGAGUGGAAUUCCUGGUGGUAGCGGUGAAAUGCGCAGAUAUCAGGAAGAACACCCGUGGCUAAGGCGGCUCUCUAGUACGGUACUGACGCUGAGACGCGAAAGCGUGGGGAGCGAACAGG